rfam:Tepidibacillus sp. Z9 scaffold00001, whole genome shotgun sequence.
CCACCCUUUAACUCAGUCCAGAGAGGCUGGCAAGGGUUCAAUAGGAUAAGAGAAAUGAAUGAGAAUAAAUAUGGUGUCUCAUUUAAUCCUUCUCUUUCACUAGCGAACCUCUUAGCUGAAGCCAGGAGGUUUUUUUGAU